CGGUGGAUAACCCUACGGCUCGUCUGAAAUGCCUCAGUGUACCCCGUUUUGCGGCGUAUUCGGUGUGAUACAUCUUCACCGGAGUUGAUCCUUUUGGGUCGCGUCUGUAAAGUGUGGCUCUAUGCUUCCAAUCGUCCCUCUGAUGGGACAAUCUCUGACAAUUUGACCUCAAAUCGGGUGGGACUACCCGCUGAACUUAA
rnacentral:misc_RNA from 1 species